GAUGAAGAACGCAGCGAAAUGCGAUAAGUAACGUGAAUUGCAGAAUUCAGUGAAUCAUCGAAUCUUUGAACGCACAUUGCGCCCGCUAGUAUUCUGGCGGGCAUGCCUGUCCGAGCGUCAUUUCAACCCUCAAGCCCCCGGGCUUGGUGUUGGGGAUCGGCGAGCCUCCGCGCCCGCCGUCCCCUAAAUCUAGUGGCGGUCUCGCUGUAGCUUCCUCUGCGUAGUAGCACACCUCGCACUGGGAAACAGCGCGGCCACGCCGUUAAACCCCCAACUUCUGAACGUUUGACCUCGGAUCAGGUAGGAAUACCCGCUGAACUUAAGCAUAUCAAUAAGCGGAGGA
rnacentral:misc_RNA from 1 species